AUGGCCAGCCAUCACCAGGUCGCCGAUGGCCAGUCCAUGAGCGGCUUCUCCGCCUCCUGGGCCACCGCCGUCCGCACUAACUCCGCUCUCCUCCCGUCGCCGUUCCUUGACCGUGGGGCCACCGACAAACCCCGCAGCCUGCCUUUGCCGGUGUUCGAUCACGGAAGCAUCGAGUUCAAGGGCAAGCACAGCUCCAGCCGCUCCUACAGAGUGCUCCCCUUGGACAGGAUCAAGAACCUGGCGGUGCACUUCCCGGGCGAGUUCGUCGCCGAGCUCAAGGCCCGUGUGGGCUUUUCAUGCAGCACGUUCCAGUGCCUCCUUGCGCACGCAUGGAAGAAGGUCACGGCGGCGCGCGACCUGGCCCCGGAUGAUUUCACGCAGGUGAGGGUCGCCGUAAACUGCCGGGGCCGGGAGAAGCCCCCGGUGCCCAUGGACUUCUUCGGAAACAUGGUCCUCUCGGCAUUCCCGAGGAUGCGGGUCCGCGAUCUCCUAUCCUCCAGCUACCCGGCCGUGGUCGGCGUCAUCCGCGACGCCGUUGCGCGCGUGGAUGACGAGUACAUCCAGUCAUUCGUGGACUUCGGGGAGGCGCAGCGCGACGUUAAACUAGCAUCCACGGCGGCAACGCUGGGCACGGCGUUCUGCCCUGAUCUGGAGGUGGAUAGCUGGCUCGGGUUUGGCUUUCACAACCUUGACUUCGGUGGUGGGCCGCCGUGCGCCUUCCUACCGCCGGACCUUCCCAUCGAUGGAGUAAUGAUCUUGGUGCCGUCGUGCGCAGCCAAGGGUGGCGCCCAUCUGUUUGUGGCUCUUGACAACGAGCACGUAGAAGCCUUCAAGAAGAUUUGCUAUUCCAUUGAGUGA
rnacentral:rRNA from 1 species